rnacentral:tRNA from 1 species
GGAGGCGUCGCAUAGCGGUCUAGUGCACCGCCUUGGAAAGGCGGCAUACCGAAAGGUAUCGUGAGUUCGAAUCUCACCGCCUCCG